rnacentral:rRNA from 1 species
ACGCUCGACACCUACGGAAGGCAGCAGUGGGGGAUAUUGCACAAUGGGGGAAACCCUGAUGCAGCAACGCCGCGUGAGGGAAGACGGUUUUCGGAUUGUAAACCUCUGUCAUCGGUGACGAUAAUGACGGUAGCCGAUGAGGAAGCUCCGGCUAACUACGUGCCAGCAGCCGCGGUAAUCUGAGGCGGGCUGGCAAGGC